rnacentral:ncRNA from 1 species
UAAAAACCGAUGAUGUGGAGAUCAAGAUUGUUGUGCACGUAAAGAGAGUCGUCGUUGCUGAGAGUACGACCGAACGCAGGCAGUUAAAUGGACCACAGAGGGUUUCCCUGAAACAAGUAGGGGAAAACGUGUUGGCAUACGUCAGUUGCCGGAAGUGUGAACACGCACUUCGCUAAGGGUGACGGGAAUCUUCCCGUCAAAGUAAGGUGGCACCGCGGAAUAAAAAACUAUCCGUCCUUAUA